AACGAACGCUGGCGGCAGGCCUAACACAUGCAAGUCGAGCGAGGACUUCGGCCUAGCGGCAGACGGGUGAGUAACGCGUGGGAACGUGCCCUUUGCUACGGAAUAGCCCCGGGAAACUGGGAGUAAUACCGUAUGUGCCCUUCGGGGGAAAGAUUUAUCGGCAAAGGAUCGGCCCGCGUUGGAUUAGGUAGUUGGUGGGGUAAUGGCCUACCAAGCCGACGAUCCAUAGCUGGUUUGAGAGGAUGAUCAGCCACACUGGGACUGAGACACGGCCCAGACUCCUACGGGAGGCAGCAGUGGGGAAUCUUAGACAAUGGGCGCAAGCCUGAUCUAGCCAUGCCGCGUGAGCGAUGAAGGCCUUAGGGUUGUAAAGCUCUUUCAGUGGGGAAGAUAAUGACGGUACCCACAGAAGAAGCCCCGGCUAACUCCGUGCCAGCCGCCGCCGUAACAC
rnacentral:rRNA from 1 species